UAUAUAAACGCCAUCUCGUAAACUUUGUGCACUUGAAGUCUGUUUUGAUCAGAAAGAUACUAAAUAAAGAUAUUCGGCGAUAUUAUUGUGGUAUGUCAAUCAUCGAUUUUUAAUAUGGUUUCAACAUUUGCAUUAUAAGGACCAAUUUUGAUAAAAUUAAUUAGAAAUUUUUAUCCAUUUAGACCAGUUUAUUAAGCAUGAGCACAAUAAUUCACUAUACUAUAAUUAUUCAAUUAAAUAAGAUUCGAGUAUUGCCGGCUGACCUAUAUGCACUUUUCAUGUUGUGUUUUUCUAUUCUGUAAAUAUAGAUAUCUGAGUAAUAAUAUGACAUAAAGCAAAAUAAGCCACGAAAUCUGGCGCAACACCCCGUAAUUGAUUUGCUUAUGAUGUAGCUAAGAACUGGGCAGAAAAAAGGCAUCCGCUACUUUUUAUCUCAUGGAGAUAACUUUUGAUCGUUCAUAAACAUCGACCACAAUCAACGCCGUAUAUCUUUUUUAAAGAUAUUUCUUGUUUGAAAUAUUGUACGAAAUAUUAAUUGAUUUUGAGUGUUUAUGGUCUUUUAAUUGUUGUUUUGAUACUUACAAUUUUAUAGAUUUUUAUGUCAUUCUGAUUAUCAUGCCCGUGUGACUUUUUAUUCCUCCCGAACCCAAUAACAAUCACAAAUUAACUCAUCAAUUCUAUACCUCCCGAAAACCACUAACAAUCACACAUUAAGUCAUCAAUUUUAUACCUCCCGAACCCACUAUCAAUCACAAUUUAUUCAUCAAUUUUAAUUUUUAUUAUUCCAUUCACAAGUUGAACAAUUAUGUCUUUGUUGUACCAACCUUAGCACUGUUGGGUUUCUAUGUCUAUUGCGAAAUGAAGUCAAUAUUUGCACCUUGCCAUUCAUACUAAAUGCAGACAAAAAUAAUAAUAUGUUACAGGAUUUUUAUGUAACAACUUAUGUUCACUUUGUGUUGUUAUUAUAAGAGUUAAAAGGUAGCUUUGAAAACAUGAAUUAGCCUUGCUCUGGGAAACGCAAUCCGCACAGGCUAGUCAGGGAAACAACUUACCUCUGGGAAAUGCAAUCCGCACAGGCUAGUCUGGGAAACCACUUACCUUUGGGAAACGCACUCUGCACAGGCUAGUCAGGGAAACCACUUACCUCUGGGAAACGCAAUCUGCACAGGCUAGUCAGGGAAACCACUAACCUCUGGUAAGCGCAAUCCACACAGUCUAGUCAGGGAAACCAUUUACCUCUGGGAAACGCAAUCCGCACAGGCUAGUCAGGGAAACAACUUACCUCUGGAAAACGCAAUCCGCACAGGCUAGUCAGGGAAACAACUUACAUGUGGGAAACGCAAUCCACACAGGCUAGUCAGGGAAACCACUUAAAUCCGGGAAACGCAAUCCGCACAGGCUAGUCAGGGAAACCACUUACCUCUGGGAAACGCAAUCCGCACAGGCUAGUCAGGGAAACCACUUACAUCUGGGAAACCCAAUCCGCACAGGACAACUUGUCAAUCAACAUGGAACAGUACCCAGAAAAUUAUGACCAUCUAAUGAACUGUGUAACUGCGCCAAGCGUGACCCUUCAGGAAAGGGGCUUCCAUGCCGAAGGUCAAAUUGUGGCCGUUGUUCAGUGUCAAGCGGAAUCCUAGCAACCAAGCCACGUCAGCACAGCAGCAAAAACAGUUUCAGCAGCAGUCGUAUACUAAACAUCAACAACAGUGGUGCAUAUGCAUUAAACUACGAGAGUAAACAAGUUGACUGCGUAAUGUGGCAUCAAAGUCUGCAAGAAGAAACCAUGCAAUUGAGGAAGCCAAGAAACCAUGUGAUAAUUUCAAGCAGCUUACCUACUCUUGAAACCCGGAUAGCAAAGCAUUGAGAUUGUUCUGGAAGCAUUUGUAGUCACAGCUCAUUAAGCAUCCCCCUGAAGCAGGACCCUCAGUCUACGAACGCCAAUUGGCGAAAUAAAACUUGUCAUUCAGCAACACAGCUAGUUGCAGCAGUUGUUACCAUAUUGACCCCAGUCAAAACUAGGAGCUCAGAGACAAUCAGCAACACAGCCAGUUGCAGCAGUUGUUACCAUAUUGACCCCAGUCAAAACUAGGAGCUCAGAGACAAUCAGCAACACAGCCAGUUGCAGCAGUUGUUACCAUAUUGACCCCAGUCAAAACUAGGAGCUCAGAGACAAUCAGCAACACAGCCAGUUGCAGCAGUUGUUACCGUAUGACCCCAGUCAAAACUAGGAGCUCAGAGACAAUCAGCAACACAGCCAGUUGCAGCAGUUGUUACCGUAUGACCCCAGUCAAAACUAGGAGCUCAGAGACAAUCAGCAACACAGCCAGUUGCAGCAGUUGUUACCAUAUUGACCCCAGUCAAAACUAGGAGCUCAGAGACAAUCAGCAACACAGCCAGUUGCAGCAGUUGUUACCGUAUGACCCCAGUCAAAACUAGGAGCUCAGAGACAAUCAGCAACACAGCCAGUUGCAGCAGUUGUUACCGUAUGACCCCAGUCAAAACUAAGAGCUCAGAGACAAUCAGCAACACAGACAGUUGCAGCAGUUGUUACCAUAUUGACCCCAGUCAAAACUAGGAGCUCAGAGACAAUCAGCAACACAGCCAGUUGCAGCAGUUGUUACCGUAUGACCCCAGUCAAAACUAGGAGCUCAGAGACAAUCAGCAACACAGCCAGUUGCAGCAGUUGUUACCAUAUUGACCCCAGUUACAACUAAGAGCUCAGAGACAAUCAGCAACACAGCCAGUUGCAGCAGUUGUUACCAUAUUGACCCCAGUCAAAACUAGGAGCUCAGAGAUAGAUCAACACAGCCAGUUGCAGCAGUUGUUACCAUAUUGACCCCAGUCAAAACUAGGAGCUCAGAGACAAUCAGCAACACAGCCAGUUGCAGCAGUUGUUACCAUAUUGACCCCAGUCAAAACUAUGAGCUCAGAGACAAUCAGCAACACAGCCAGUUGCAGCAGUUGUUACCAUAUUGACCCCAGUCAAAACUAGGAGCUCAGAGACAAUCAGCAACACAGCCAGUUGCAGCAGUUGUUACCGUAUGACCCCAGUCAAAACUAGGAGCUCAGAGACAAUCAGCAACACAGCCAGUUGCAGCAGUUGUUACCGUAUGACCCCAGUCAAAACUAGGAGUUCAGAGAUAAAUACUGUUUAAGAUAGAUAUUCUCUACAUUCCUCAUGGUAUGUUAAGCACAAACUCUGACAGAUCUCAUCUUUGAACUUUGUAACGGGCGAAAAAUAAAUGACCUUGUUCAGAAUGAAAUGGCAGAAUGACAAAGCACAACAAUUUAAGGGGAAACCAUAAAUUAAUGUGACCAGCAAAGAUGUGUUCAAAGCAAAACAAUAUGUCAUGUCUUUGGGGACUGAAUUUUGAUGGUGUCAUUCAUUAAACAUUGAAUAUUUUUGUUAAAUAUAAUGAUAUAAAGGAUAUUUGAUUAAGGCGUGUAUGUUAAUUAUUACCUUAAGCACAAAUAUAGCACGUCUAUCAAUUACUUAUGAAACUUGCACCUGAUAAUGAUAAAUGCAUGAAAAUUAAAUUGUACUUAAGACAUUAUUUCAUACGUUGAGCUUAAGAAAAUUGAAAGCUGUUUAAAGUAUGCUGGUAACAUUAUAUACAAAAUAUGUAUUGGAUUAUAUUCAUGUAAAAAACAAGUUUCAGUUUUCUGUUGUAACAUGUAAUAUAGAAGUAUUAUCAAGAAUCGUGUUAAGUAUGGCACUAUUCGAAAUGAAUAUUCAUUAAAUAAAGACAAAAUCAUUUAAUCUUCUUUCAAUUGUCAAUUCUGUAUGUACUACUACUACCUUAUUUAUUUGACUUGAUAUGGUUUGUUAAAUUAUAAGAUAAUGCCUCUUUAUUUGGAAAGCUUUCAAUGUUUUGAAACUGAGUAUUUAAAAUGAAUUAUUAAAAGAAUUAUGAAAAAUCAUGACUGAUGUCAAAGUUAUGUUUGAUUUUGCCAAUUUUGUGUUGAUAUUUAAUAUACGUGUACUUACAUGCUCAUAAGUGUUGACAUUUGUUUUUGAACAUAAUAGUUUUUUAUGUUUUAUAUCGUGUAUAUACACAUUUACUAGUCCAAAUUUUCAUCCUCUCAAUCACUCAGUAACUUUACCAACAAUAAAUGUUGGAUCUCUGUAUAUAGGUAAAUUGUUCAAUUGAUAUAUAGAGCAACUGCAACAAAUCAGUCAGUUACAAAUCAAGGCAGAGUGAUGUAAUAUGCUGGCAAUUGUUAAGUAGUGCAGUUGUCUCUUUUUGUUCUCAGGUUAGAGCAAUGUUGUUUGCUUCAAAAAUAAAAACACAGUCUCCCUUGUAAGAAAAUUAAUGUGUUCACAUCUCAACAUAACAAGUAAAUUCAUAGAGAAAAUCAAAUUAUUUACAUGAUAUACUCGACAAUUAGUCUAAUGGAAUUUGUAGAAUAAAAAAUAACAUGUAAUUAUGACGAUUAUAAGUGAAUGUUUGACACAAAAUGUCUCUUCAGAAAUGUGUAUAUUUUAAUGAUAAAUCUAUACAUUGUACUUGCUGUACUUUUUAUAGUAUAUUUUAUGAACAUGCAGCUGAUAAGUGAAUGUGACAAUUUACGAGUUAUGUUACAAUUUGUUACACGUUGACAUGGCCACAUAAGCUGUUUAUGGAGUGCAUUCACUGCGGCCAGUUUCCAGAAAUCUCCCAAUUAAAAAACACCAGAAAAUAUCUUAAGGUCAGAUAGUUUGGUUGUUGACAUUAGUUUUGAUUUAUUUAUUGAUUGUGUUAUGCCUUGUACUCUUAAUUUGUUAUCAAAUAUAUAAGUUUAUAUGACUUGAAGAGACUUACAUGUUUAUGUUAUUGAUGUGUUUGUGCUGAUUUCUUGCAUUCUGAUUAAAGAAUAUUCAAGUGGAAAAAGAAUAUUGUUGUGCAUUGAAAGUGUGUUGUGAUUUCAAAUAAAAAUACUAUGAAAAUAUA